GAGGAAGAGUGGCUCUUUAUGUAAAAGAGCCAUAUGAUUGCUUAGAGCUCCAGUAAGGAACUGGAGAUAGGCUUGUUGAAAGGCUAUGGGGUAGGGUCACAGGG